AAAGAAAUAGUUUAAAAAGAACAAAAGUAUGUGGACCUUUAGGUGUAAAUUACUUUCUUUA
rnacentral:tRNA from 1 species